GNUCAGAUUGAACGCUGGCGGUAUGCUUAACACAUGCAAGUCGAACGGRAACGAAACUAGCUUGCUAGUAGGCGUCGAGUGGCGGACGGGUGAGUAACGCGUAGGAAUCUGCCUGAUAGUGGGGGAUAGCCCGAAGAAAUUCGGAUUAAUACCGCAUAAUCUAUUCGUAGUAAAGUGGGGGACUUUCGAGCCUCACGCUAUCAGAUGAGCCUGCGUAAGAUUAGCUUGUUGGUAGGGUAAAAGCCUACCAAGGCAACGAUCUUUAGCUGGUCUGAGAGGAUGAUCAGCCACAUCGGGACUGAGACACGGCCCGAACUCCUACGGGAGGCAGCAGUGGGGAAUAUUGGACAAUGGGGGCAACCCUGAUCCAGCAAUACCGCGUGUGUGAAGAAGGCCUGAGGGUUGUAAAGCACUUUCAAUUAUGAAGAAAAGUUAAUGGUUAAUAACCAUUGACCUUGACGUUAAUUUUAGAAGAAGCACCGGCUAACUCCGUGCCAGCAGCCGCGGUAAUACGGAGGGUGCAAGCGUUAAUCGGAAUUACUGGGCGUAAAGCGUGCGUAGGCGGUUUAUUAAGUCAGAUGUGAAAGCCCCGGGCUUAACCUGGGAACUGCAUUUGAAACUGGUCAACUAGAGUAUGGUAGAGGAAAGUGGAAUUUCUGGUGUAGCGGUGAAAUGCGUAGAUAUCAGAAGGAACAUCAAUGGCGAAGGCAGCUUUCUGGACCAAUACUGACGCUGAGGUACGAAAGCGUGGGUAGCAAACAGGAUUAGAUACCCUGGUAGUCCACGCCGUAAACGAUGAUAACUAGCCGUUGGGGGGAUUUACCCCUUAGUGGCGAAGCUAACGCGUUAAGUUAUCCGCCUGGGGAGUACGGCCGCAAGGCUAAAACU
rnacentral:rRNA from 1 species